rnacentral:lncRNA from 1 species
NNCAGCUCUCCCAGGCUGGAUCCCUGGGAACUGAGGGGCUCCAGGCCUGGAGCAGCUCUGGGGUCUCCUCUGGGCUCUCCCCAGCAGCUCCAGGUGUCCCCAGCUCUGCAGGUGGGGUCUCACCUGGCCACAGGGGCAGGGUCCCCCCUCCCCUGCGGGACCAGCCCAGCCCUGGGGGAGGCUCUCAGGCCCAUCAUCCUCAACACAGAAAUCAUUCCAAGGGCUGCUGAGAACAAUGGCAAUCUCCACUCCCAGGGUUUUCCCAGAGCCAGGAGCUGUGGGCAGGUACAUCCCGAUUUUAGGGGCUGUCACCACCAGCCUGACUCGGCAAUCCUGGCGCUUCCCUCAGCUGCUCCCGGCCCAGCCCGAUCCAGCUUUCCCUCUUCCCAGCACUCAGCUCCCUGUGGGGCUGUGGGAUCAGCGUGUCCCCUCCUGCCCGGGGGAGCUGGACCUGCCCCAUCCCAGCUGGGAAAGCUCCAGGUUCCUGGGAAAGCUCCAGGCUCCUGGGAAAGCUCCAGGCUCCUGGGGAAGCUCCAGGCUCCUGGGGAAGCUCCAGGGUCCUGGGGAAGCUCCAGGCUCCUGGGAAAGCUCCAGGGUCCUGGGAAGGCUCCAGGUUCCUGGGAAGGCUCCAGGUUCCUGAGAAGCUCCAGGCUCCUGGGGAAGCUCCAGGUUCCUGGGAAGGCUCCAGGUUCCUGGGAAGGCUCCAGGGUCCUGGGGAAGCUCCAGGCUCCUGGGAAGGCUCCAGGUUCCUGGGAAAGCUCCAGGUUCCUGGGAAAGCUCCAGGUUCCUGGGAAGGGAGGUGUGAGCCUCGACCUCCCGGAGCUGCGGCCGCUCCAUCCUUCCUGCAGGGCUGGGGGACAGCUGGGGCAGCCCGGCCCCGCCCGGCUGUGCUGGGAAAGGCACGGGAGGGUGUUGGGACACAGGAAAUUCAAAAUAAGGCCAGAGUUAAACACGGGGCUGAGCCACGGCACCGCAUGGCCCCGGCUGGGAGCGCCAGGACACUGCUGGACACUGCUGGACACUGCUGGACACUGCUGGACACUGCUGGACACUGCUGGACACUGCUCUGGACACUGCUCUGGACACUGCUGGACACUG